rnacentral:lncRNA from 1 species
AAGCCAGGAACAGAACCUAAGUUUCUCAAUGCUCUGCCCAUUAAUUCCCAAAUGUCAACCCACAAGGCAAUGCUCACCCAUUACAAAUUAAAAACAAGGAUCGUGUAAGUAGUAUCAAAGCAAAUAAUUUCAACACUUGUUUUUUCUUAUCCCCAAAUCCCCCCAGUACAUAGUUGCAUAUUGUAUUUGUGAGUGCCGCUGGUUGUGCCAUGUGGGACGCCACCUCAGCAUGGCCUGAUGAACAGUGCCACGUCCACACCCAGGAUCUGAACCAGUGAAAGCCUGGGCUGCCAAAGAGGAGCGCGCAAACUUAACCACUCCGCCACGGGGCUGGCCCCGUAAUUUCAACACCUUUAUUGAGAUUGUAAUUUUACUGCUUUUUGGGAUUUAAAAUGCUCUUUGUUAGACUUCUUAUCACUGUGAUGGACUAAGUUGAUAUGGGAAGCACCCAUCAUUCCUAACACAGAUAAAUGUUCCAUAAAAUACAACAAAAACAUUUGAAAUAUACAACUAAGCACUAAAGAAAUUGAAAUCCUCAGGUGCCAGAAAUGAAGAGAACACUAAAACGUGGUGAGCAAGAGGGGAGGAAGUUAGCAGAAUUCAUAACCCAAGAAUUACAGACAAUAGAGCAAAGAGACUAUAAACAUGGCUUGAUGAGCAGUGUGCAAGUUGGCCCUCGGGAUCCAAACCUGUGAACUCUGGACCACUGAAGCAGAGCGUGUGAACUUCACCACCACACCACCGUGCUGGCCCCAAAAUAAAUCUUUAAAAAAAAACUUAGUAGACUAAACAUAGCUUAAGAGGAAAUCAGUAAAUUGGAAGAUAGAGUUGAAGAAAUUUCACAGAAUGCAACACAAAAAAGAUAAAAAGAAAUAUUAAAAAGAAAGAAGCACAGAGAAUAGAAUAUUAAUGAGCAUUACAGAAGGACAUAAUUGAGGGAACAGGAGAGAAAUUUACAAUAAAAAAGGGCUAUGAUAGAGAUUACUGCUUGUUCCCAAUAGCUAAUCCCCCCCUCUGCCUUAUUCACAGAAUUGCCCAUUUUUAGCUGGAAAUUUGGCUGCCCAGAAUAAAGACAAAAUUUCCCAGAUUCCCUUGUAUCUGGACUGACCAUAUGACUAUAUUCUGGGAUGUAACCAAAACAGCAUGUACAACUUCUAGAAACAUCCUCAAAAGCAGGAGGUAGGCCCUUCUCUGUGCUUUUUCCUUCCUAGUAACUGGAAAGCAGAUGUUAUGGUUUAAGUCUGAAUAGAGAAUCCACUUGCUGAAAAUGGUAGAAUAAUACAAUAGAAGGGCCCCUGAGCCCAUGACAUUAUCAGACACCACCUGGAUGGCCCAAUUUAUGUAAGAAAGAAGUAAAUGUCUACCUUGUACAAACCACUCUGAUGUGGAGUUGUUUUUAAUCACUUGCAGCAGAACCUAAU